AAAAAUAAAUAAAUAAAUAAAAGGUUGACUUUGACUUUGGUUGUUAGUAUUCUUUUUAUUUGAUUUCCACUAGAAAUGUGGAGUAAAGGGUUGAAAUUAAUUUUCAAUUACCGCAAGAAAGAGAAUUGAAAGAAGAAGACAGAUAAUGGACUGAGAUUCAACCUUGGAUUGCCAUAUAAUUAAUUUACUGAAGAGGUGGGUGGCAAAUAAUUAAAGCUUUUGAUUAGUUUUAUUGUGUGACGAGACGUUUCUGUUCUAGAGUUUUUUCAACUUGGCACCUGGGGCUGGGGGGCCACGUUAAAAGGACACUUCUUUUGCAAUAUCCAUUGGCGAACAAAGAACACUGAAGCGAAACAAUACGGACAGUACUUAUCAAAAAGGGGAGAUUUAUACAAUUUUUAUUUUUUUAAUAUAGGGAGGAAAAAAAAUAGGUAAAUUACUUUUAAGUUUUUAUAAUUUGUUAAAAUUAAUUAUUUUAUCUUUAAAUUUUUUAAAAUCUCAAUUGAAAUGUCUUUAUAUUUUGUAAAAACAUAUUCUUUAUUCUUUCUUUCAAAGAAAUGUUAAUCAAUAUAUUUAGCCUUGAACACUAAUAAUGUUUAAUCCCUAUAAUUUUAAUUAUUUAUACUGUUUAAUUUCUCUUAUCAAGAUUAAAAUAAUUUGACUAAUAUUUUUUACGAUAAAAAUCUAAUAAAGGGGCUAAAGAGUUUGAUUUUUCAAAAUAUAGAAAUAGAUUUUAAAAGAGGAAGCAUUAAGAAGUUAAUUUUAACAAAUUAUAAAGACAUGAUUGUAAUUUAUCCAAAAAACAAAAUAAAAAAUGGCACCAAGAAAUUGUAUGAAGCUAUUAAUAGAUAUUUCUUGAUGGAGAAGAGAGGUUGUGGAGUAGUCUUACUCUUAUUAAUCCCAGACUGACACCCACUAUAUUGAGCAAUGAAAGUAUUAAGAGAAUUAAAUAGACUCAUUACCAGUUUGUUUUUGACAUGCCAAAACGAAAAAUUCAUUUCUUGCCCUUCUAAAGUGUGAAAAGUAUAGAUUUAUAUGCCUCCAAAAUAAACAUAUACAAUCUAAUCUUUAAUUGGGAUAAUUUGAUUCUGAUGUAUAUCAAUUGUCACGGGUCACAAAUUCAACCCAUAUAUAGUAGCUGA
rnacentral:misc_RNA from 1 species